GUCAUAUGAUCAAAUCACUGACUUCUGUAACGUAUCCAUAUAAUUAGGUCUAAGUGGAAUCUUGGUUUAAGUGAUUCUUUUUUUUUUUUUUUCGGUAUGCGGGCCUCUCACUGCUGUGGUCUCUCCCGUUGCUCCACGGCAUGUGGGAUCUUCCUGGACCGGGGCACGAACCCGUGUCCCCUGCAUCGGCAGGUGGACUCUCAACCACUGUGCCACCAGGGAAACCCUAAGUGAUUCUUAACAUGGCAAAAGGGACUUUGCAGAGGUGAUUUUGUUAAGGAUCUUGAGGUUGUCGAGAGAAUGCUGGAUUUUCUACAUGGGCACAGUCUCACCACGGGUCAUUAAGGGCAGAGAAUCUUUCCCCACUGUGGUCAGAGGGAGACAGGACUCCAGAAGGACAGUCAGAGAGGUUGCUGUCUUGGAAGACGGAGCAAGGAAGCCAUGAACUGAAGCAUGUGGGUGGUCUUUAGAAGCUGGAAAAGGCAAGAAAAUGGAUGCUCUCCUAAAGCCUCCAGGAUGAAAUGCCGACAUCUUGACUUUUGCUCACUGAGACCUGUGUCAGACUUCUAACCUGCAGAAUUAUACAUAAUAAAAUUGAGUUGUUUUAAACCA